GACGAACGCUGGCGGCGUGCCUAAUACAUGCAAGUAGAACGCACAGUUUAUACCGUAGCUUGCUACACCAUAGACUGUGAGUUGCGAACGGGUGAGUAACGCGUAGGUAACCUGCCUGGUAGCGGGGGAUAACUAUUGGAAACGAUAGCUAAUACCGCAUAAUAUUGAUUAUUGCAUGAUAAUUAAUUGAAAGGUGCAAUUGCACCACUACCAGAUGGACCUGCGUUGUAUUAGCUAGUAGGUGAGGUAACGGCUCACCUAGGCGACGAUACAUAGCCGACCUGCGAGGGGGAUCGGCCACACUGGGACUGAGACACGGCCCAGACUCCUACGGGAGGCAGCAGUAGGGAAUCUUCGGCAAUGGACGAAAGUCUGACCGAGCAACGCCGCGUGAGUGAAGAAGGUUUUCGGAUCGUAAAGCUCUGUUGUAAGAGAAGAACGGGUGUGAGAGUGGAAAGUUCACACUGUGACGGUAUCUUACCAGAAAGGGACGGCUAACUACGUG
rnacentral:rRNA from 1 species